GGCGUAAAGCGCAUGCAGGUGGUUUGUUAAGUCAGAUGUGAAAGCCCGGGGCUCAACCUCGGAAUUGCAUUUGAAACUGGCCGACUAGAGUACUGUAGAGGGGGGUAGAAUUUC
rnacentral:rRNA from 1 species